AUGAGUCCAACUUUCGUGGCUGCUGUAAAGAAAUACUGCCUGAAUUGUUCUCUAUGCCUAAAAAUGACACUAAAAGCUUGUCUUGUUUUGCUAAUAAAAAAAAAAGGGGGGGGGAGGGAAUUAUGAUGUGCGGUAUGGUGGCUGUUGAUCCAAUCUCUUGUGAGCCUAAAAAGCAUUUAUGACAUGCAGUAGAAGAUUUAUAAUCCUCGGACAGCAAGACACAUAAUGCGAAGACCCAAUUUCCUGGAAAAGGCUCUAAGGCUGAGAAAGGUAGAAGGAAAGAGAAGAGGAUGACUAGCAGCAAGGUGAAUGGACUCCAGUGCAAUGGUGAUAUGUGCACCAUUGACAGACUUGAAAGAACAGGUUAAGGACAGAUCAUCAUAGAGAAAAAUCUAUCUAUGUGGUUGCUAGGAGUUGAAAAUGACUUGAUGGCACAUAAUCAAUUUAAAUAAAACAGUUUUACUCUGUA